UCGAGCACUGCAAAUGUUCUUGAUACAAGACCAGGUAAAACUAACUCCGAAGCAACAACUAUUUAGCUUUCCUGACUUGCCAUAUUUGGUAGUUGUUUCAUUUGGUCUGGAGGGAGGGGGUUGGCGCACUUGCCUUGAACAAUUGCUUUUUUAUUUAAGAUUGCAAUAUGCAGAUAAAGAUUGGUUUCAUGGGAAAGGUUUUAGUAAAAUUGAUAACUGCCCAACUCACUAAGCUGUAGAGGAUAUCUCAUUUCAAUCCCCUAUGUGCAGAGUAUACUUACUAAGUACUUAGAAUGAAGAGUUUAUAAGUGCGUGCUAACAUUGGAUCAGAUACAGUUGAUUUUAGUAAAUGGAUUCAUAUAUAUGUGUAAUUGAUAAGGCUAUGCUAAGAACAUUUUUCAUCCCCGAAGUGUUUCCAGUUUUACUUCAUUUGCUUUGGGCUGCCACUAACAUUUCAUCCCCCUUCAAUGUUAAAUUACUCUCAGUCAUGUUUGAUGUACGUGUUCUUAUUUUACAUGACUUACAUGUCUGCUCUACGAGAUCCUUCUAUCUUUAGGUUCUGCGCUAUUCCACAGGUCAUGGCGAUUGGGACAUUAGCCAUGUGCUACAACAACAUUGAAGUUUUCAGGGGUGUUGUAAAGAUGAGACGUGGUCUUACUGCUAAGGUUAUUGACUAGACUAGAACAAUGGAAGAUGUCUAUGGUGCUUUUUUUUUUCUUGCAUGCUAAAAUCAAAGGUAUGGAGCUUUACACUUCUCACUGACUUUAUGUAUACCUGAAUAUCCACUGAAUGUGUUUCAUAAGCAUUUAUGUGCUAUGACACACUGAUAAUGUUUUAUUUUUUGCAA